rnacentral:rRNA from 1 species
CCUACGGGAGGCAGCAGUGGGGAAUAUUGCGCAAUGGGCGAAAGCCUGACGCAGCGACGCCGCGUGAGGGAUGAAGGUUUUCGGAUCGUAAACCUCUGUCAGCAGGGAAGAACGGUCACUGUGCUAAUCAGCAGUGAAUUGACGGUACCUGCACAGGAAGCACCGGCUAACUCCGGGCCAGCAGCCGCGGUAAUACGGAGGGUGCGCGCGUUAAUCGGAAUUACGGGGCGUAAAGCGUGCGUAGGCGGUAUGUCAAGUCAAGGGUGAAAUCCCCGCGCUCAACGUGGGAACUGCCUUUGAAACUGGCAAACUGGAGUGUGGGAGAGGAUAGUGGAAUUCCAGGUGUAGGAGUGAAAUCCGUAGAUAUCUGGAGGAACAUCAGUGGCGAAGGCGACUAUCUGGCACAUAACUGACGCUGAGGAGCGAAAGCGUGGGUAGCAAACAGGAUUAGAUACCCCAGUAGUC